AUCGCUUCUCAGCCUUUUGGCUAAGAUCAAGUGUAGUAUGAGAAAGACUAAAACAGCAGUUAGUGUUAAGCCGUGGUGGGACUUGACAUGAAUGACUUCAUUUUUACUCUGUGGUGUCUUUUUUUUUCUUUUUUGAUUUUGGCGUUACACCAGGUGGUGCCCAGGGCUUACUCCUAGCUCUGUGCUCAGGAAUCACU